CCAACGGCUCUUUUAAGAGCCACCCACACUUUCACAAAGAGCCAGU
rfam:Danio rerio chromosome 25, GRCz11 reference primary assembly.